AUUGAACGCUGGCGGCAUGCCUUACACAUGCAAGUCGAACGGCAGCACGGGAGCAAUCCUGUUGGCGAGUGGCGAACGGGUGAGUAAAGUAUCGGAACGUGCCCAGUCGUGGGGGAUAACGUAGCGAAAGUUACGCAAAUACCGCAUACGAUCUAUGGACGAAAGCGGGGGAUCUCAAGACCACGCGGAAUUGGAACGGCCGAUAUCAGAUUAGGUAGUUGGUGGGGUAAAGGCUCACCAAGCCGACGAUCUGUAGCUGGUCUGAGAGGACGACCAGCCACACUGGGACUGAGACACGGCCCAGACUCCUACGGGAGGCAGCAGUGGGGAAUUUUGGACAAUGGGCGAAAGCCUGAUCCAGCCAUGCCGCGUGCAGGAUGAAGGCCUUCGGGUUGUAAACUGCUUUUGUACGGAACGAAAAGGUUUGGCCUAAUAAGCUGAGCUCAUGACGGUACCGUAAGAAUAAGCACCGGCUAACUACGUGCCAGCAGCCGCCGUAA
rnacentral:rRNA from 1 species